UACGAAGGUGGCAAGCGUUGUUCGGAUUUACUGGGCGUACAGGGAGCGUAGGCGGUUGGGUAAGCCCUCCGUGAAAUCUCCGGGCCUAACCCGGAAAGUGCGGAGGGGACUGCUCGGCUAGAGGAUGGGAGAGGAGCGCGGAAUUCCCGGUGUAGCGGUGAAAUGCGUAGAGAUCGGGAGGAAGGCCGGUGGCGAAGGCGGGCGCUCUGGAACAUUUCUGACGCUGAGGCUCGAAAGCGUGGGGAGCAAACAGGG
rnacentral:rRNA from 1 species